rnacentral:tRNA from 1 species
UACAAGUUAGUGUAAAGAGCAUUAUGGAAUUUGAAUCCAUAGGGGGGGCGGUGUCUUAUUUGUGG